CUCCUGCAGCUCGCCCCAUCCCCUGACUUGUCGUGUCUUGGGCCGUCGCGGCACUCUCAUCUUGCGUCGUCGCCUUAUUGCUGUUCUGUUGGGAGGUGGAGAAGAAAGGAACUCUAGUGCAUCACACACCUUGUGCUUGACGAAAUGUUUGAAUCAGAAUUUAUCAUCGCAUCCGCAGUUUGGUUUAAUCAUGCAGCAAAGGUUGCCUCGGCACGUCGCCAUGUCUGUCUGCUCGUAGCAGAGCUGGGUAUAGUUCAUGUUUGCAAAAGUGAAUCUUCACAUUCAAGCUGCAGUACAGGAAACAACAAUAUACGGAAGGGUAUGGAAUUACGAAUAUAUUGGAUAUUGCAUUGUUGUAGAACCAUACAUGGAAGGAUUC